AGCGUAGACGGUGUGGCAAGUCUGAUGUGAAAGGCAUGGGCUCAACCUGUGGACUGCAUUGGAAACUGUCAUGCUUGAGUGCCGGAGGGGUAAGCGGAAUUCCUAGUGUAGCGGUGAAAUGCGUAGAUAUUAGGAGGAACACCAGUGGCGAAGGCGGCUUACUGGACGGUAACUGACGUUGAGGCUCGAAAGCGUGGGAGCAAACA
rnacentral:rRNA from 1 species